rnacentral:rRNA from 1 species
GUGUCAGCCGCCGCGGUAAUACGUAGGGGGCAAGCGUUGUCCGGAUUUACUGGGUGUAAAGGGUGCUCAGGUGGUCUUGCAAGUCAGAGGUGAAAGCCCAGGGCUUAACUCUGGAACUGCCUUUGAUACUGCAAGGCUUGAGUACGGAAGAGGUUGAUGGAAUUUCUGGUGUAGCAGUGAAAUGCGUAGAUAUCAGAAAGAACACCAGUGGCGAAGGCGGUCAACUGGUCCGUUACUGACACUAAAGCACGAAAGCGUGGGGAGCAAACAGGAUUAGAAACCCUCGUAGUCC